AUAUUAAAGUUGUUGCAGUUAAAAAGCUCGUAGUUGAAUUUUAGGCCUGACCGGGCGGUCUGUCUCUGGCGAGUACUGUUCUGUUGUCGGGUCUAUCCUUCUGGUGAGCCGGUAUGCCCUUUAUUGGGUGUAUCGGGGAACCAGGACCAUUACCUUGAAAAAAUUAGAGUGUUUAAAGCGGGCUUUUGCUUGAAUAGAUUAGCAUGGAAUAAUAGAAUAGGACGUUGGUUCUAUUUUGUUGGUCUAGGACCACCGUAAUGAUUAAUAGGGAUAGUUGGGGGCAUUAGUAUUCAAUUGUCAGAGGUGAAAUUCUUGGAUUUAUUGAAGACUAACUACUGCGAAAACAUUUGCCAAGGAUGUUUUCAUUAAUCAAGAACGAAAGUUAGGGGAUCGAAGACGAUCAGAUACCGUCGUAGUCUUAAC
rnacentral:rRNA from 1 species